AACUUGAAAGAUAUAUGGAGAGAAAAGAAUCCUGGAAUGAGUUCAUUUACUUGGAGUAAUAAGGCUUGUACUAGUUUAUCACGAAUAGAUUUCUGGCUGAUUUCCAACUUUUUAGACAACAAUGACAUUAAGGUCAAUAUUCUUAGAACAACAAUAUUUCGCAGGGAAUGGGUUCAUAUUGGAAAUUAAAUAGCUCCAUCCUAACGCACGAGGUUGUGAUCAAAACGGUUCAGUCUUUACUUGAACGCUUUUUGCAUAAAGCUUUAAUUGAUAAAAGAUUUAGUAGUAGUUGGGAACUUUUUAAAUUUGAGGUGUCAAAAUAUUUAAGAGCAUACGGAAGUUCUAUAUUUAAAGCUAAAAAAGUUGAGGAGGUAAAAAUAAUAUCAGAGAUAACACAGAUUACACAAGAAACACCAGAAAAUGUAACUGAAAGUGAAAUUGAGUCUUUUAUUAUUCAGCUAAAUAAAUUGGAUGAAUUAUAUAGAGGGAAGGCGGACGGGACCUUUGGAAGAAGUAGAAGGAAAUGGCUUGAGGAAUGGGAGCAGAAUAGAGCUCACUUCUUUCGACUGGAAAAAUUCUGUGCAAAAAACAACUCAAUACAGAAAUUGAAUAUUGAUGAUGUUUUUACAUAUGACCCUAAAAGAAUAGCUCUAUAUUGUUCUAAUUUCUGUAGCACAUUAUAUCAAUCAAAUUGCAGUGAGAAGUCCACCCUCCAAUUCUUAGAUUCUCUCACUGAAACCAAAACAAUUGAUAACGACCAAUCAGACUUCUGUGACAGACCUAUAAAACUAGGGGUAGUUAAACUUGCUAUUGGACAUCUCAAACUCAAUAAGUCCCCUGGAACAGACGGUAUCGCUGUAAUAAUAAGUGCUAACAAAGGAGCUGACACUAGGUGGAGCUCUAACCUCAUAACUCUUAUCCCAAAACCUAGGAAAGAUAAACUCCUUAUUGAUAACUGCCGUCCAAUCUGCCUUCUUAAUAAUGAUUAUAAAGUGUUUGCACAGAUAUUUGCAAAAAGGAUUAAAACUGUUUUGGAUCAUAUUAUCGAUGAGUGCCAGUCAGGUUUUAUGAGACACAGACA
rnacentral:lncRNA from 1 species